ACGGAAGGCAGCAGUGGGGAAUAUUGGACAAUGGGGGAAACCCUGAUCCAGCGACGCCGCGUGAGUGAAGAAGUAUUUCGGUAUGUAAAGCUCUAUCGAUGGGGAAUAAGAUGAAGGUACCCAAGUAAGAAGCCCCGGCUAACUACGUGCCAGCAGCCGCGGUAAUACGUAGGGGGCAAGCGUUAUCCGGAUUUACUGGGUGUAAAGGGAGCGUAGACGGAAUAGCAAGUUUGGAGUGAAAUACCUGUGCUUAACGCAGGAAUUGCUUUGAAAACUGUUAAUCUAGAGUACUGGAGGGGUAUGGGGAAUUCCUAGUGUAGUAGUGAAAUGCGUAGAUAUUAGGAAGAACACCGGAGGCGAAGGCGCCAUACUGGACAGAUACUGACGUUGAGGCUCGAAAGCGUGGGGAGCAAACAGGAUUAGAUACCCUGGUA
rnacentral:rRNA from 1 species